AUUGAACGCUGGCGGCAUGCCUUACACAUGCAAGUCGAACGGUAACAGGUCUUCGGAUGCCGACGAGUGGCGAACGGGUGAGUAAUACAUCGGAACGUGCCCGAUCGUGGGGGAUAACGAAGCGAAAGCUUUGCUAAUACCGCAUAAGAUCUACGGAUGAAAGCAGGGGACCGCAAGGCCUUGCGCUCACGGAGCGGCCGAUGGCAGAGUAGGUAGUUGGUGGGAUAAAAGCUUACCAAGCCGACGAUCUGUAGCUGGUCUGAGAGGACGACCAGCCACACUGGGACUGAGACACGGCCCAGACGCCUACGGGAGGCAGCCGUGGGGAAUUUUGGACAAUGGGCGCAAGCCUGAUCCAGCCAUGCCGCGUGCAGGAUGAAGGCCUUCGGGUUGUAAACUGCUUUUGUACGGAACGAGAAGACUUCUUCUAAUAAAGGGGGUCCAUGACGGUACCGUAAGAAUAAGCACCGGCUAACUACGUGCCAGCAGCCGCGGUAACAC
rnacentral:rRNA from 1 species